rnacentral:rRNA from 1 species
CCCUUAGAUGUCCGGGGCCGCACGCGCGCUACACUGAAGGAAUCAGCGUGGCUUUCUCCCUGACCCGAAAGGGUUGGGAAACCCGUUGAAUCUCCUUCGUGAUAGGGAUUGGGGCUUGAAAUUGUUCCCCAUGAACGAGGAAUUCCCAGUAAGCGCGAGUCAUAAGCUCGCGUUGAUUACGUCCCUGCCGUUUGUACACACCGCCCGUCGCUACUACCGAUUGAACGGUUUAGUGAGGGCCUCGGAUUGGUCUCGGCCCGCUCUUUACCGGGCGGCGCCGUUGGUCGAGAAGACGCUCGAACUUGAUCGUUUAGAGGAAGUAAAAGUCGUAACA